rnacentral:lncRNA from 1 species
CUGGGACAGAUUCAACUAAUUAUAUUUAGCAAUCACACAUUAUCCUCAGGGUUUUCAAUCAUUACACAUCACAAUAACCAGGCACAGUCACAACACAAGCUCAAUAUCAAGAAGGUUUUAAAGAAUCGCUUACACAAGGAACCAGGUUGGUUCCUUAAGCCUCCAAAGGCAAUCUGGCCAUGAUAUGGUUGGAUUCAAGAGUCUAGGUCGUCACCCAACUCCUUCUCCUUCAGUCCAUGGCCUCCUUCUUGUUUCUCACACCCAAAGACCCCUC